GGAGAGGUGGGUGAGUGGCUUAAACCAACAGUUUGCUAAACUGUCGUACUGAGCAAUCGGUACCGGGGGUUCGAAUCCCCCCUUCUCCG
rnacentral:tRNA from 1 species